rnacentral:rRNA from 1 species
AAGACCUUGCGCUUUUGGAGCGGCCGAUGCCUGAUUAGCUUGUUGGUAAGGUAAAAGCUUACCAAGGCUUCGAUCAGUAGCUGGUCUGAGAGGACGACCAGCCACACUGGGACUGAGACACGGCCCAGACUCCUACGGGAGGCAGCAGUGGGGAAUUUUGGACAAUGGGGGCAACCCUGAUCCAGCCAUGCCGCGUGAGUGAAGAAGGCCUUCGGGUUGUAAAGCUCUUUCAGCCGGAACGAAACGGUUACGGUUAAUACCCGUGACUACUGACGGUACCGGAAGAAGAAGCACCGGCUAACUACGUGCCAGCAGCCGCGGUAAUACGUAGGGUGCGAGCGUUAAUCGGAAUUACUGGGCGUAAAGCGUGCGCAGGUGGUUUUGUAAAUCAGAUGUGAAAGCCCCGGGCUCAACCUGGGAACU